GACGAACGCUGGCGGCGUGCCUAAUACAUGCAAGUCGAACGCAGUGGGGACGGGUGAGUAACACGUGGGUAACCUCCCAUCAGAGGGGAUAACACUUGGAAACAGGUGCUAAACCGAUACUGAUUGAUGGACCCGCGGUGCAUUAGCUAGUUGGUGGGGUAACGGCUAACCAAGGCCACGAUGCAUAGCCGACCGGAGAGGGUGAUCAGCAACACUGGGAAUGAGACACGGUCCAGACUCCUACGGGAGGCAGCAGUAGGGAAUCUUGGACAAUGGACGAAAGUCUGACCGAGCAACGCCGCGUGAGUGAAGAAGGUUUUCGGAUUGUAAAGUACUGUUGUCAGAGAAGCGGUAUCUAACCAGAAAGCCACGGCUAACUACGUGCCAGCAGCCGCGGUAAUAC
rnacentral:rRNA from 1 species